ensembl:lncRNA
GCACAAUCGGUGGCUGACUAAAUACUUUUUUGAGUUAGAUUUAAAACCGUUGUAAUUGAUUACAAUGAAUGUUCUCAUAAGAAGAAUUAUUUGAAUUUAGUUACUAUUGUCUUGUUGAAACACAGGUCGCAUAUUUGUGGAAACAACAGGAAACGGAAGUUGUUGUUUCUGUGGUCCCAUCUCAGAUUAGAGGUAACAACUUUGUCAUACGUCACAGUGAGUUCCUGACCCUUAGACCACACAGCUGGCUUGUUGGAGAGGUAUGUAAACUAGUUAUUUAAAAAAAAAAAGUAUUGCAUAAGGUUAACGUUAAAGCUGGGGCAGGACAUUAGUUUUUCCCUACACAUUCAGUAAGUACUACUUUAGAUCGACAUUCCAGGCAUAUCCUCAUGACUGAAUACUGAGUAUACGUAAGUAAAAAAAAUCUUUAUUAACCUUUGUAUUCCAAAACUUUAUCAUGUUUACAAAGUAAUAAAAGGUUAUUUAUUAAACUCCUCAGGUCAUUGAAAGUCUCCUGCACCACUGGGCCAUUCGGCUAAAUCAGGGGAAUAAUAUCUACAUUAUGAACCACUACACGAGCGGUGUGAUCCUCUAUGGAGAGAGAGAACUAAUCAGGAGACAAAGCUUGUCCAAGGUGAACUUUGACAACUACGGAGCCGUUUUAUCCUUUGUGAACAUUGGAAAUAUACACUGGAAGUUUCUGUACAUAAAUGCAGAUGACAGCUGUCUGUAUUUGGUCGAUCCUUCAAGAAACUCUUUGGAGCAGGAAGAGUCUGACCGUGCAGCCAAAAGAGUCCGUGAAUACUUCAAAAUGAGGAGGACAUGCUACAACAAAACAGACUGGGUGAAUGUGAGACUUCGAGGAGGAGUACUGACACAUCCAUUUCAACGGGAUGGUUCUAGCUGAGGAGUAAUGGUCAUCAUGAUGGUCAAAGAAGUAAUGGAAGCAUUCCCAAAUAAACCAGAAAUGACAUUUUUGACGACAAAAAACGAGAUGGCCCAGGCACGAAGGACAUUUGCACAGACAAUACUUGAGGCCUCUGUAUUUGACAGUGACAACAACUGUGCCAUGUGUGCAACGGUGAAACCACCUAAUCCAGGACCCUCCAUCACUGACUGGGUAUAGUAUUUUUUUAAAUAGUUUUAUGUUAUCUACAACAAAGUAUUUGACUCUGUGUCUUUAAUGAUUGUAAUUGAUUAAAACAUAGAAUUAUUUACGUAAUGUGUUUAUGAAAGUUCAUGUUUUUGUUUACAGAUCCAGUGUGAUAACUGCAACCACUGGUUCCAUUCUGAAGGCCUGGACAUGACAAAUGAACAGCUGAGCAGUGCUCAGAAGACAGAGUGGAAGUGUGUGCUUUGUGUAACCUAAUUCCACAUGCAGUGAAAGCUACUUGAAUAAUCUGCUUAUAGUUGUUAUUGGUGUUUUGAGGAACACAUGUGUAAAACACAAUGUGUAUAACAUUCUUGCUUUGUGCUCGUACUUCAAGUAUUUCCUUUUUGAUUUUUUUGGGUUGAUUUGUGUGAUGACAGAUAAUGAAUAACAAUAUAUCUAAACUGUGUAGUAGUAAUAUGAGAAAUCAGUAAUCUGAGAAAUGUAAUUUCUCACCCUGACCGGUUGAGGCAGAUGGCCCCGCCCCUCCCUGAGCCUGGUUCUGCCGGUGGUUUCUUCCUGUUAAAAGGGAGUUUUUCCUUCCCACUGUUGCUCAUAGGGGCUCAUAUGAUUGUUGGGUUUUUCUCUGUAUGUAUUAUUGUAAGGUUUAACUUAUUAUGUAAGUGCCUUAAGGUGGCUAUUGUUGUGAUUAAGCACUGAAUAAAUAAUGUCUAAAACUAAAGUUGCUACUUGAGGUGGUGUGUGAAUGACAUUUUGAAAAAUUUAAAUUGUGUGUGGAAAGAAAUUUCUUGUAGUUAAGCAAAUACUUCAAUGAACUCAUUUUGUUUGGUAAUGGAAUAGGAUUUAAUUUUAUCAGAAAUCCAUACAGUAAUUGUUGCUGUGGAUGACAGGGUGCAGAGUGGGGGUCACCCAGAGUCAUAAUCCAGUGAGAUAUCUGUG